AGAAUCAACGCUGGCGGCGUGCCUAACACAUGCAAGUCGCACGAGAAAGGGGAGCAAUCCCUGAGUAAAGUGGCGCACGGGUGAGUAACACGUGACUUAUCUACCUCCGAGUGGGGAAUAACCUAGAGAAAUCUGGGCUAAUACCGCAUAACACUUACGAGUCAAAGCAGCAAUGCGCUUGGAGAGGAGGUCGCGGCCGAUUAGCUAGUUGGCGGGUAAUGGCCCACCAAGGCGAUGAUCGGUA
rnacentral:rRNA from 1 species